AUUGAACGCUGGCGGCAGGCCUAACACAUGCAAGUCGAACGAGUGGCGGACGGGUGAGUAAUGUCUGUGAAACUGCCCGAUGGAGGGGGAUAACUCCUGGAAACGGUAGCUACUACCGCAUACCAUCGGAUGUGCCCAGAUGGGAUUAGCUAGUAGGUGGGGUAACGGCUAACCUAGGCGACGAUCCCUAGCUGGUCUGAGAGGAUGACCAGCCACACUGGAACUGAGACACGGUCCAGAGUCCUACGGGAGGCAGGAGUGGGGAAUAUUGAACAAUGGGCGGAAGCCUGAUGCAGCGACGCCGCGUGGGGGAUGACGGCCUUCGGGUUGUAAACGCCUUUCGACAGGGACGCGGUACCUGUAUAAGAAGCACCGGCUAACUACGUGCCAGCAGCCGCGGUAAUAC
rnacentral:rRNA from 1 species